UACGGGGGGGGCAAGCGUUGUUCGGAAUUACUGGGCGUAAAGCGCGCGUAGGCGGGGGAUUAAGUGAGUGGCGAAAGGCUGAGGCUCAACCUCAUGCAGUGCCUCUCAUACUGGUUCUCUUGAGGGCGGUAGGGAGAAGUGGAAUGGCUGGUGUAGCGGUGAAAUGCGUAGAUAUCAGGAGGAACACCGAUGGCGAAGGCAGGUCUCUGGGCUGACACUGACGCUCAUGCACGAAAGCGUGGGGAGCAAACAGG
rnacentral:rRNA from 1 species